UACGUAGGGGGCAAGCGUUGUCCGGAAUUAUUGGGCGUAAAGCGCGCGCAGGCGGUCGACAUAGUCGGGUGGUUAAGCUCGGGGCUCAACCCCGAGUCACACCGGAAACUGGUGGACUUGAGUGCAGAAGAGGAGAGUGGAAUUCCGGGUGUAGCGGUGGAAUGCGUAGAGAUCCGGAAGAACACCGGAGGCGAAGGCGGCUGGCUGGGCCUGAUCUGACGCUGGGGUGCGAAAGCAUGGGGAGCGAACAGG
rnacentral:rRNA from 1 species